AUUGAACGCUGGCGGCAUGCCUUACACAUGCAAGUCGAACGGCAGCACGGGAGCAAUCCUGGUGGCGAGUGGCGAACGGGUGAGUAAUAUAUCGGAACGUGCCCAGUGAUGGGGGAUAGCCCGGCGAAAGCCGGAUUAAUACCGCAUACGACCUACGGGUGAAAGCAGGGGAUCGCAAGACCUUGCGUCAUUGGAGCGGCCGAUAUCAGAUUAGCUUGUUGGUGGGGUAAAAGCCUACCAAGGCGACGAUCUGUAGCUGGUCUGAGAGGACGACCAGCCACACUGGGACUGAGACACGGCCCAGACUCCUACGGGAGGCAGCAGUGGGGAAUUUUGGACAAUGGGCGCAAGCCUGAUCCAGCCAUGCCGCGUGCGGGAAGAAGGCCUUCGGGUUGUAAACCGCUUUUGUCAGGGAAGAAACGGUUUGGGCUAAUACCUCGAACUAAUGACGGUACCUGAAGAAUAAGCACCGGCUAACUACGUGCCAGCAGCCGCGGUAAUACGUAGGGUGCAAGCGUUAAUCGGAAUUACUGGGCGUAAAGCGUGCGCAGGCGGUUAUGCAAGACAGAUGUGAAAUCCCCGGGCUCAACCUGGGAACUGCAUUUGUGACUGCAUGACUUGAGUACGGUAGAGGG
rnacentral:rRNA from 1 species